CUCAACAACCCUUCUUUUUUUUUUUUUUUUUUUUUUUUUUUUUAANNNNNNNNNNGGCGCCAAAAACCCUUUUUUUUUUUUUUUUUUUUUUUUUUGUAAAGCAAAAUUCAUUUCUUAACUUAGGAUUGGUACAUUAAACAGAGAGCUUGUCUGGCCACAAGGUCAGCUCUAUUAAUAACUAGUCUAGGGAUAAAUUUAAAUUCAACAGCAGUAAAUAGAGCAGAUAGAAGGUUGAGAAGAACAGCGAUCUCUAAAUGUCUUCCUCUUGAAUUCACAAGGUUAGUGAGAAUCUGAGAGUCUGAAAAAAUCAAGAGAGCGUUAAUCCCACACUGAAGAGCAGAGAUCAUGGCGUUUCGUAACGCCAAAGUUUCCGCAGCAAGAGGCGAUGCCACAGAGGAGGCAGUCGCUGAAAAAAGUCUUUUCCUGGAAAGGAAGAAAGACAAAAGUGAUCUCUUCCAUAAUGGGAAGGAGGAUGAAUGUGAUCUCUCCCAGGCUAAGGAGGAAGUUGUUGAAGCCUUUUGG
rnacentral:lncRNA from 1 species